CCUACGGGAGGCAGCAGUGGGGAAUAUUGGGCAAUGGAGGCAACUCUGACCCAGCAACGCCGCGUGAAGGAUGAAGGUCUUCUGAUUGUAAAGUUCUGUGAAUGGGGAUGAAAACAAUGACGGUACCCCAAUAGCACGCCACGGCUAACUACGUGCCAGCAGCAGCGGUAAUACGUAGGUGGCAGGCGUUAUCCGGAAUGACUGGGCGUAAGGGGUGCGUAGGUGGUUUAGUAAGUUGGCGGGGGAAUUCCGGGGCUCAACCUCGGCGCUACCGCCAAAACUAUUAGACUAGAGUGCAGGAGGGGUAAGCGGAAUUCCUAGUGUAGCGGUGAAAUGCGUAGAUAUUAGGAGGAACACCGGUGGCGAAGGCGGCCUGCUGGACUGUGACUGACGUUGAGGCCCGAAGGCGUGGGGAGCAAACAGGAUUAGAUACCCGGGUAGUC
rnacentral:rRNA from 1 species